rnacentral:rRNA from 1 species
GGGUGGCAGCAGUGGGGAAUAUUGGACAAUGGGGGCAACCCUGAUCCAGCCAUGCCGCGUGAGUGAUGAAGGCCUUAGGGUUGUAAAGCUCUUUCACCGGUGAAGAUAAUGACGGUAACCGGAGAAGAAGCCCCGGCUAACUUCGUGCCAGCAGCCGCGGUAAUACGAAGGGGGCUAGCGUUGUUCGGAUUUACUGGGCGUAAAGCGCACGUAGGCGGAUAUUUAAGUCAGAGGUGAAAUCCCAGGGCUCAACCCUGGAACUGCCUUUGAUACUGGGUAUCUAGAGUACAGAAGAGGUGAGUGGAAUUCCGAGUGUAGAGGUGGAAUUCGUAGAUAUUCGGAGGAACACCAGUGGCGAAGGCGGCUCACUGGUCUGUUACUGACGCUGAGGCGCGAAAGCGUGGGGAGCAAACAGGAUUAGAUACCCUGG